UACGAAGGGGGCUAGCGUUGCUCGGAAUCACUGGGCGUAAAGGGUGCGUAGGCGGGUUUCUAAGUCAGAGGUGAAAGCCUGGAGCUCAACUCCAGAACUGCCUUUGAUACUGGAAGUCUUGAGUUCGGGAGAGGUGAGUGGAACUGCGAGUGUAGAGGUGAAAUUCGUAGAUAUUCGCAGGAACACCAGUGGCGAAGGCGGCUCACUGGUCCGAUACUGACGCUGAGGUGCGAAAGCGUGGGGAGCAAACAGG
rnacentral:rRNA from 1 species